rnacentral:tRNA from 1 species
GCCUGGGUGGCUCAGUCGGUUGAGCGUCCGACUUCAGCUCAGGUCAUGAUCUCACGGUCCGUGAGUUCGAGCCCCGCAUCGGGCU